rnacentral:rRNA from 1 species
UACGUAGGGUGCAAGCGUUGUCCGGAAUUAUUGGGCGUAAAGAGCUCGUAGGCGGCUUGUCGCGUCGGCUGUGAAAACCUGGGGCUCAACCCCGGGCCUGCAGCCGAUACGGGCAAGCUAGAAUUCGGUAGGGGAGACUGGAAUUCCUGGUGUAGCGGUGAAAUGCGCAGAUAUCAGGAGGAACACCGGUGGCGAUGGCGGGUCUCUGGGCCGAUAUUGACGCUGAGGAGCGAAAGCGUGGGGAGCGAACAGG